rnacentral:rRNA from 1 species
AGCUUGCUAAUAAUUCUCUAGUGGCGCACGGGUGAGUAACACGUGAGUACCUGCCCCCAAGAGUGGGAUAGCCCCGGGAAACUGGGAUUAAUACCGCAUAAAGCAAUAAAGCAGCAAUGCGCUUGGGGAUGGGCUCGCGUCCUAUUAGUUAGUUGGUGAGGUAACGGCUCACCAAGGCGAUGACGGGUAGCCGGUCUGAGAGGAUGUCCGGCCACACUGGAACUGAGACACGGUCCAGACACCUACGGGUGGCAGCAGUCGAGAAUCAUUCACAAUGGGGGAAACCCUGAUGGUGCGACGCCGCGUGGGGGAUAAGGUCUUCGGAUUGUAAACCCCUGUCAUGUGGGACAUUAAAAGAUAGUACCACAAGAGGAAGAGACGGCUAACUCUGUGCCAGCAGCCGCGGUAAUACAGAGGUCUCAAGCGUUGUUCGGAAUCACUGGGCGUAAAGCGUGCGUAGGCGGUUUCGUAAGUCGUGUGUGAAAGGCGGGGGCUCAACCCCCGGACUGCACAUGAUACUGCGAGACUAGAGUAAUGGAGGGGGAACCGGAAUUCUCGGUGUAGCAGUGAAAUGCGUAGAUAUCGAGAGGAACACUCGUGGCGAAGGCGGGUUCCUGGACAUUAACUGACGCUGAGGCACGAAGGCCAGGGGAGC